AUCGCUUCUUGGCCUUUUGGCUAAGAUCAAGUGUAGUACCAAGUGUAGCUUCAGGAAAUACACAAUUUCAUCAUUGUUGGAAGAAAGAAGGGUCUUUUAAAAAUUUUAGAAUUUCAUAUAUUAAAAAUUUGUGGUUAGUAAGACAUGGGAUAUACCAGCUGAAUUUACUUUUU
ensembl:snRNA U2 U2 spliceosomal RNA